UAAAGAAGGUCUGUAUGAACAUAUCAAGCAAGUCCUGCUAGCAAUGCUUCAUUCAUACAACUGUUUCUUGUGUUGUUACUUCUAUAGUGAGUGACAAGUUUGCAAUCUCAUAUAUGCAGAGGUCGGCUGCUAACAGGUUCCAGGUGGCUGGGAUUGAGGAAAUUAUAUCAGGAAACGAGUGAGCCUUUUGUUUUGUGGUUCAGCAACGUUCUCUAUUAUAGUGUACAUUAUAUUUGUUUCCUUCUCUUUUUAUAAUUGUAACUGAAUCUUUUCUCUCUUAACAUAUUGAAAUCAAGACUGUUUUUCUUAAAUGAAUUUACAUUUUUAAUGCUUUAAAGCACUAUAAAAUCUCAUGUUGAGUGUGUAAAUUCCCAUCAUUUUGUUGUUAUGGAGCUCUAAAAAUUGACAUUUUUCUUACAUUUCCUUGCUCUUAAUUUUCAUAUCUGAACUGUGAUCAUUGCUUACCAAUUCUCACAUCCAUUUCUAUCAGUUUUACAAGGAUGCAUCCCUUUUUACAUGGGGAAGCAGAUAACAAUAACGAACCAAGCAAGAUGACUAUGGUGCGUGACCUCAAGCUGUGAUA
rnacentral:lncRNA from 1 species